GACGAACGCUGGCGGCGUGCCUAAUACAUGCAAGUAGAACGCUGAAGAGAGGAGCUUGCUCUUCUUGGAUGAGUUGCGAACGGGUGAGUAACGCGUAGGUAACCUGCCUUGUAGCGGGGGAUAACUAUUGGAAACGAUAGCUAAUACCGCAUAACAAUGGAUGACACAUGUCAUUUAUUUGAAAGGGGCAAUUGCUCCACUACAAGAUGGACCUGCGUUGUAUUAGCUAGUAGGUGAGGUAAUGGCUCACCUAGGCGACGAUACAUAGCCGACCUGAGAGGGUGAUCGACCACACUGGGACUGAGACACGGCCCAGACUCCUACGGGAGGCAGCAGUAGGGAAUCUUCGGCAAUGGGGGCAACCCUGACCGAGCAACGCCGCGGGAGUGAAGAAGGUUUUCGGAUCGUAAAGCUCUGUUGUAAGUCAAGAACGGGUGUGAGAGUGGAAAGUUCACACUGUGACGGUAGCUUACCAGAAAGGGACGGCUAACUACGUG
rnacentral:rRNA from 1 species